AAUAGAUACCCAGGUAGUCCUGGCCGUAAACGAUGUCGACUAGAUCGCAGUUCCUUCAACGGAAUUGCGGUCGAAGCAAAAGUGCUAAGUCGACCGCCUGGGAAGUACGGUCGCAAGGCUAAAACUCAAAGAAAUUGACGGGGGCUCACACAAGCGGUGGAGCAUGUGGUUCAAUUCGAAGCAACGCGCAGAACCUUACCUGGGCUUGACAUGCUAGGAUUAUCCCUAUGAAAGUAGGGUAGGCCCUUCGGGGUACAACUAGUACAGGUGCUGCAUGGCUGUCGUCAGCUCGUGUCGUGAGAUGUCGGGUUAAGUCCCUUAACGAGCGAAACCUUUGCCCUUAGUUACUAACGGGUUAUGCCGAGGACUCUAAGGGGACUGCCGGUGUCAAACCGGAGGAAGGUGGAGAUGACGUCAAGUCCUCAUGGCCUUUAUGCCCAGGGCCACACACGUGCUACAAUGGGGUGCACAGAGCGAACCGAGAGCGCAAGCUGGAGGAAAUCGCAUAAACUCACCCCCCAGUUCAGA
rnacentral:rRNA from 1 species